AUGAAGCCUGUAGUCACCAAACUGCCAGCGCAGCGACCAGCCAGGAGAAGGCUGUUUCCGCUCCAGCUGCUAUGGAGAGUCCCACUCCCCUGCUCCUGUGGCUGCUGGUCUGCACCCACUGCACCGCUGAGUCACCCCUUCCUCCUGCUCUUGGAGGCAGUUCCAGUGACUGUGUCCAGCCAGCUUGAUGGGACCCCUGAGAAGCUCCUCAGAACCGGCAGCAAGCGUCCUGUUGGCGUAUUUAUAAGAGAGAUGCACUCGGGUGACAUGACCACAAGGUGGCGCUAUUGCCCUUUCUUUUGUAAAAUGUGUCAUACAGAGAUUUACCCCAAAUCUGCUUUGAUUUACCCAAGAAAAGGUCCUUAGUAACCAAUGUAAAGAAAUAGCAGUUCCUCACUGUGGGAAUUUUUCACUCUGCUACUAAACAUAGCAUCUACCAUAUAGAUAUAGAUAUAGAUAUAGAUAUAGAUAUAAUCUAUCUAUCUAUCUAUCUAUCUAGAGAGAGAGAACAUUAGUUUUAGCAGCCUGCAUCAGUUACUGUAUUAGAGAGCGAUCUGGACAG
rnacentral:lncRNA from 1 species